UACGGAGGGGACUAGCGUUGUUCGGAAUUACUGGGCGUAAAGCGCACGUAGGCGGAUUUGUAAGUCAGGGGUGAAAUCCCGGGGCUCAACCUCGGAACUGCCUUUGAUACUGCAAAUCUCGAGUCCGGAAGAGGUGAGUGGAAUUCCUAGUGUAGAGGUGAAAUUCGUAGAUAUUCGGAAGAACACCAGUGGCGAAGGCGACUUACUGGACACAUAUUGACGCUGAGGUGCGAAAGCGUGGGGAGCAAACAGG
rnacentral:rRNA from 1 species